AGUUAAUAGAGGGCUGGUUGGCUUAUCGAAAAGUAUGAGGCUUAUUGAAAAGUAGUGUGAACUACCUAAUAGAAAGCUUAGUACCUAAUAGAGAGCUAGUUGGCUUAUCGAAAAGACUACCUAAUAGAGGGACCCAGAAGAUCUAUGUUUAAUUUACACCACAUCGUAUGUCCAGAAAAUAUAAAUAAAUUACAACUUUCAGCAAUGGAUCUCUUGGUUCUCGCAUCGAUGAAGAACGCAGCGAAUCGCGAUAAGUAAUGUGAAUUGCAGAUUUUCAGUGAAUCAUCGAAUCUUUGAACGCACCUUGCGCCCCUUGGUAUUCCGAGGGGCAUGCCUGUUUGAGUGUCAUUUUAUCAUCAACUCAUUAGUCUUUGAUUAGGCUUUUGGGCUUGGACUUGGGAAUUGCUGGCUUGAUCUUUUUACCCAUUGAACAGUAUCUAAUACUUAAUAGAGGGGAAAAAGUGUAGUCGGCUGUCCUUAAAUGCAUUAGCGAGUGUUAGUCUACAUGGCACGGCCUCUUGACGUGAUAAUGAUCGUCGUGGGCUGGAAGUGUAGUGUCUGGCUUCUAAAACCCGAUUGCGUGCAUACGGCCCAUAAAG
rnacentral:rRNA from 1 species